CCUACGGGUGGCUGCAGUGGGGAAUAUUGGACAAUGGGGGCAACCCUGAUCCAGCCAUGCCGCGUGUGUGAAGAAGGCCCUCGGGGUGUAAAGCACUUUCAGUGAGGAAGAACGCCUGGUGGUUAAUACCCAUCAGGAAAGACAUCACUCACAGAAGAAGCACCGGCUAACUCCGUGCCAGCAGCCGCGGUAAUACGGAGGGUGCGAGCGUUAAUUGGAAUUACUGGGCGUAAAGCGCGCGUAGGUGGCUUGAUAAGCCGGUUGUGAAAGCCCCGGGCUCAACCUGGGAACGGCAUCCGGAACUGUCAAGCUAGAGUGCAGGAGAGGAAGGUAGAAUUCCCGGUGUAGCGGUGAAAUGCGUAGAGAUCGGGAGGAAUACCAGUGGCGAAGGCGGCCUUCUGGACUGACACUGACACUGAGGUGCGAAAGCGUGGGUAGCAAACAGGAUUAGAUACCCCAGUAGUC
rnacentral:rRNA from 1 species